GUGAAUCAUCAAAUCUUUGAACGCAAAUUGCACUCUCUGGUAUUCCGGAGAGUAUGCCUGUUUGAGGGUCAGUUUAAAUAAAAAUCGGUGUGGUUGCUGCCUUUCGUGGUGACGCACCGGAUUUGGGUCGUCUUGCCUUCGGUUAAGUGACCUAAAAUUUUGCAUGAUUUUUUCGAACGUAUUUAAAUGAUUUUUCGGACGGUUGCGAUAUCGAAUUCUAGGUUCUGGCCUCCUCAU
rnacentral:misc_RNA from 1 species